ACGGUUGAAUUUGUCCACCCACCCAUUAAAAAAGGGAAGAAAGGGGUGUAAGUGGAUUACAACUGCCAAUCCGGACUAAACAGAGAACAAAAACUAUUAGAGGUUUUAAAAAACCUUGAGGCACUGAAAUCAUUUUUGUUUAUUUGCUUUCCAUGUUAAGUUAAAUAUCUGUCUACAUUAAUCAUUAAUGAACCUGUAGCAGCUUGCCCAAUAAACCUUCCUUAAUGAACAGCAGCGAGAGCAGUGUUAUCAUAACUGUGGCUUUGUUAACAAACAGAAAUAGGCCUUUCUACUCUGCUGAAUGCAAAGUUCUUAAAUAUUGGGGAGGAGCUGUGGAUCUGCUAUGGACUACCAAACCCAGUGGAAAAUGCUGCAAUAUGCUGUGGCAGAACUGAUGACAAGGAGGAAAGAUUUCUGGAAGAUGAAAAGCAAAUGCUCAAUUAUCAGCAAGAACAUCGGUAUAUUUGUUUUGCUCAAGCAUACUGUUAAGAUGCAGUCUGACCUCCCUGAGUUCGUCCAGCAGUUUGUUUUUUACUUAAGAUUCGGUCUCUCGUGUCUGUACAACAUGGAUCAGGCCACCUGCCAUAGUUGGCCAAAAGAAACAGUCUUUCAUCUUGACAAAUACUCAAAGGAUUUUUGUCCCAUCCUCCAACCAAGUAAACUGAGGUGGCUGAUUUAACUGCCGUGGAUCACUGUCAAAGCAGGAUGAACCUGAUAAUCAUAUUAUGCACAGAACAUUGUUGAAAUAAAUAUGGUUAAACAGGUUAUUCAGCUUUCCCCUCUGCUUGCAAUGAAAGUCUCUAAAAAAUGUGUUGGAAUGUUCCAAUUUAUUUAUUCUCCCGCAAGGACCUGGAGUUUACUUUAUUUCAGAGGCAAGGCUAUUUUAUGUUGUGUCGCUUUUCGCAUUUGAACGGAAAUAAAAGUUUCCCUCACUAUCUCA